rnacentral:lncRNA from 1 species
AGGAGAUUUGGGCGGGGUCGCACAUCCAAACCGUAUCCCCACUUGUUUCCCACCAAAUGGUCUGCCCUUAGCCAGUCCCUCUGACUUUCUCAGUAAGAAAGUGCGAACUGAGGUGCCUGAGUGGCAGAGCUGGGAUUGGAAAGCAACGUAGUGGAUCCCAGAGUCAACAUUCCGUUUUUGCGGGGUGGGGGUUGGAGGAGUUGGGAGGUCUUACUAUAUUGCCCAGGCUGGUCUCGAAUUCCCAUAGGCUCAAGCGAUCCUCCCGAGUGCGGAGAUUACAGGGUCACCACCUCCCUCAGACGUUUCUGGGACAGAUCCAAGCCAGCAGAGCAGCUGCUCGCUCCAGAGCCGUGGUGUCUUCCUGGUGCAUCAGCGCCACCGCGUGGCAAAACAGGGCAACUGUAGGAAUCGACUUUCCAUCUAUUUGGAGCUCAUCAGUGCUUUUCUUUUAGACUCAUAUGGCAGGAACAAGAAGUGCACAUGCCAAAAGAAAGGCAGAGGACUGCAGGAGCAAGACGGGUUGCAAGGGGCGUGAUGACUAGCACAAUCCUGGCCCCUCUUCUUCCAGCAUUAUAAAGACACAGUAGAAUAAUAGUGCAUGAGUUAUUGUGACAGUAGCACUUUUCAAAAAUAUAUAGCAUUGUGGAAACAGACGCCUCCAAAUAUAUAUUCCUCACUGCAAUAAAUGUCUAUGUAAGAGUAAUAUCUAAAUCUGGUUACGUAUGUGCUAGCCCUUACUUGCACAUCUGAUAGUGUUCCACGAUUCCUUUGCAGAAGCUGUGGCUGACUUUCCCACCUGGGGUGAUUUCAGGACAAUAUUAAGGU